rnacentral:ncRNA from 2 species
GUCGUGCACCGGGGUCAGUGAAAGUCUGAACCGGCGGUUACAGUCCGCGACCCUCCCCACCCGGGGAGGUUGAGCUGGUGGAAUUCCAGCACCGACGGUUAAAGUCCGGAUGGUAGGAGCACGAU